CACGUAGGGGCGAGCGUUGUCCGGAAUUACUGGGCGUAAAGGGCGCGCAGGCGGUUAUGUUAGUCUGCUGUGAAAAGCAUCGGCUUAACCGGCGUAGGGCGGUAGAUACUGUGGAUCUGGAAUGCGGUUGGGGAAGACAGAAUUCCUGGUGUAGCGGUGGAAUGCGCAGAGAUCAGGAGGAAUACUGAAGGCGAAGGCAGUCUUCCAAGCCGUUAUUGACGCUCAACUGCGAAGGUGUGGGUAUCAAACAGGAUUAGAUACCCGUGUA
rnacentral:rRNA from 1 species